GAUGAACGCUGGCGGCGUGCCUAAUACAUGCAAGUCGAGCGAACAGAUAAGGAGCUUGCUCCUUUGACGUUAGCGGCGGACGGGUGGGUAACACGUGGGUAACCUACCUAUAAGACUGGGAUAACUUCGGGAAACCGGAGCUAAUACCGGAUAACAUUUGGAACCGCAUGGUUCUAAAGUGAAAGAUGGUUUUGCUAUCACUUAUAGAUGGACCCGCGCCGUAUUAGCUAGUUGGUAAGGUAACGGCUUACCAAGGCGACGAUCCGUAGCCGACCUGAGAGGGUGAUCGGCCACACUGGAACUGAGACACGGUCCAGACUCCUACGGGAGGCAGCAGUGGGGAAUAUUGCGCAAUGGGCGAAAGCCUGACGGAGCAACGCCGCGUGAGUGAUGAAGGGUUUCGGGUUGUAAAACUCUGUUAUUAGGGAAGAACAAAAGUGUAAGUAACUGUGCACGUCUUGACGGUACCUAAUCAGAAAGCCACGGCUAACUACGUG
rnacentral:rRNA from 1 species